CAAACAUGGUGUAAAAUAUGAUAAAAUGAGGAAAGAGCAGAGAUUGGUUUGAUGCCAGGACUACAGCCUGCGUCUGAGGAUCAAAACCUGAUGAGGGACCACUUAACUACAAUGAGAUGCAAAAACACACUCUCACAUGCACGGACAUGACUUCACACACAAACAAAGGAAAUGUACACAAUGUACUGUGUAAGCUGUACAUCAGACACAGAAUGAAAUCAGGCACAUUAUGACACCGGGAUACAUGUCUACACAGAAAUGUAUAUACAUUUCUUUUGUGUGUGUGUG